rnacentral:misc_RNA from 1 species
GAUGAAGAACGCAGCGAAAUGCGAUAAGUAAUGUGAAUUGCAGAAUUCCGUGAAUCAUCGAAUCUUUGAACGCACAUUGCGCCCCCUGGUAUUCCGGGGGGCAUGCCUGUCCGAGCGUCAUUGCAACCUUCAAGCGCGGCUUGUGUGUUGGGCCCCGUCCUCCGAUCCCGGGGGACGGGCCCGAAAGGCAGCGGCGGCACCGCGUCCGGUCCUCGAGCGUAUGGGGCUUUGUCACCCGCUCUGUAGGCCCGGCCGGCGCUUGCCGAUCAACCCAAAUUUUUAUCCAGGUUGACCUCGGAUCAGGUAGGGAUACCCGCUGAACUUAAGCAUAUCAAUAAGCGGAGGA